CAUAAUAAGUUAAAACUUUCAACAACGGAUCUCUUGGUUCUGGCAUCGAUGAAGAACGCAGCGAAAUGCGAUAAGUAAUGUGAAUUGCAGAAUUCAGUGAAUCAUCGAAUCUUUGAACGCACAUUGCGCCCAUUAGUAUUCUAAUGGGCAUGCCUGUUCGAGCGUCAUU
rnacentral:rRNA from 1 species